CUACGGGCGGCUGCAGUGAGGAAUAUUGCACAAUGGGGGGAACCCUGAUGCAGCAACGCCGCGUGGAGGAUGACGCAUUUCGGUGUGUAAACUCCUUUUAUAUGUCAAGAAAAUGACGGUAGCAUAUGAAUAAGCACCGGCUAACUCCGUGCCAGCAGCCGCGGUAAUACGGGGGUGCAAGCGUUACUCGGAAUCACUGGGCGUAAAGGACGCGUAGGCGGGUUGGAAAGUCAGGUGUGAAAUCCUACAGCUUAACUGUAGAACUGCACUUGAAACUUCUAAUCUAGAGUAUGGGAGGGGGAGAUGGAAUUAGUGGUGUAGGGGUAAAAUCCGUAGAUAUCACUGGGAAUACCUAAAGCGAAGGCGAUCUCCUGGAACAUUACUGACGCUAAGGCGUGAAAGCGUGGGGAGCAAACAGGAUUAGAUACCCCCGUAGUC
rnacentral:rRNA from 1 species